rnacentral:tRNA from 1 species
GCGGGUGUGGCGAAAUGGUAGACGCGAGGGACUCAAACUCCCUUUCCGCAAGGAGUGUCGGUUCGAGUCCGACCACCCGCA